GUCAUUCCGAUAAGAUUAAUUUUUGGAAUUUCAGAGAUGGAUUACACUGAAUACAAUCUGAGGCAACUCUUAGAAUUCGCUCUACGAUUUCCUGAAAUUGGAGCUGUUAAUUUUAAUAUUAUAUAUUUGAUUUUAAAGACUAUAAUUAAAAAACAAGGAAUAGAGUGUCUAACUCCUAGAUUUACCUUCGUUUAUGAACGUCCAUCAGAUUUUACGAAAGAAAACAUAAUUUCCGAGAAAGAAUCAGAAUCAAGUGAUGAAAUUGUUGAAGAAAAAUCAGAAAAUCCAAGUAUGGUUGCAAUGAAGAAAAACAUAGGCAAACUUAAAGAAACUAUUAAGCAAUUGUCAAAUAGAAUUUCUCAAUUGGAAAAACGGCCAACUCGUAAAGUAAAAAAAGUAAAAAAACGUAAACCUGGUGAAGUGCAAGAUGCUGCUGAUGAAAAGCAAGAACCUAUAUUUGAAGAACUAGAAGAACCUAAAGUAGAACAAGAACUAGAAGAACAUAAAGUAGAACGAGAACUAGUAGAACCUAAAGUAGAACAAGUACUAGUAGACCCUAAAGUAGAACCAGAACUAGUAGAGCCUAAAGUAGAACCAGAACUAAUAGAACCUAAAGUAGAACCAGAGCUAAUAAAACCUAAAGAAGAAAGGGAAUUAGAAACAAAAGUAUAUGAUGAAGAAGAUGUUGAGGAGUUACCUGCAGAAAGUGAAGAUGUUGAAAAGAUGUCUAAAACUGCUAAAGAUAAAAAAGUUGGAGGAAAGUUUUCAUGGCACAAAGAUAGACUAUUCAAACAAAAAAUUCAAGAAAUUAAGAAACAAGUUGUAUCAUCACAAGGGACUGAUCAAGAUGAAAUUUGGACGGAAAUGAAAGCAGUGCAGGCUACAAAUGAAUUUGUUGUGGAAAAAUGUGAUGAACUUUUACAAGAUUUUGAUACUGUUAUGAAUGGUUAUAGCAACUUAGGUAUGCAAGUUGAAGAAUUAGACAAAAUUGUGAAUAAAAAAAUAAAGAUAGAAGAUGAUCUAGAGAAGUUAAGAGAGCAAGUAGAGAGGCUUGAAUUAUAUGUAUAUUCUGGGAAACAUGCCCCUGAAGAGGAGAAGGAGAAAAGAAGAUUGCAAGAAGCAGUACCUUUGACGGAAGAAGGAGAAGCUUCACAGUUUAUGAAAGGUGAAGUGGAGAAAGUCCAGCAAACGAAAGUGGAUAGGAAAACUCAUUUUGCAAGAAUGGUGAAGAACUUGAUGACCAUGCCAGAGGAGAAAAGAGCUGAAAUUGUGAAAGGACCCAUUCAGCCAGAAGUCAAAAGAGUCAAGCCUACAACGAUGAAGAAAGCAUAUGAGAAAUUCAUUAAAGCUACUCAGGGAACACGUGCAGGGAUAGAAGAGACCAGACUCAAAGAUGAGGAAAAAGCUGAAAAGGUUGCCAUUAGUCAACCGCAAGAGACUAGUGAAUUAGUGGUUACAGAAGAGGCUGGUCCUCCCAGCAGAGGCACAGCGAAGAAACUCCACAGGACUGCUCAAGCUAUAGUUCUCUUGCAGAACAUGCAGAGGACACAGCAGGCGGGUAGACUUGUGAGAGCUAAAGAAAUGGAAGCCUAUCGGGCCUUACAAGACAGUGAAGAUGAAGAAGAUGAGGAACAGCUCAGUGUAGAAAGGUUGGAAAUUGAAACACCUCCAUCCAAACAGCUCUCUAUUGAACAACUUGAAGAAUCUACUCCUGCGAAAGCUACUUUGCUCUACGGUGGUGACAAGGCAACUCAACAUCUAAAAGAGCGCAUUGUUAUGUAUAUCAAGAGCCGCUUAGAGGAACUGGAAACAAGAUUUUGGGAUAAAAUGCACACAGAGGAAACUUCCAUUAUCGAGAUACAAGGCGAAAGUGAAGUCUUCAAGGAAGAAAUGCGCGUUUUAAAAAAUAGAAUUGCUGUUGCGGAAACAAAUCAAUAUAAGUUUGAAGGGAGAUUGACAACUGUUGAAGAAAAAGCCAAUCUAAAUGACCUUCAUAUUGAAGAAAUGAUGAUUGCUCUUGAUAAAAAAGCGGAUCGUUCUGAUACUGUACAAGGCAUGACAAAAAAGGAUAUGAGCAUUUUAGAAGACAGGAUGUUGAAAAUAAAUGAAACAACUUUGUUAGAUAUUGAGGAGUUGAGAAACUUUCUGAAAGAUUACAUUUUCAAACUGCGGGAUGAGUUAGACGAGAAAGUGUCCGGGUUCGAUAUGGAUUGCCGACUGGAACCAUUGGCGGGACGACUGAAGAAACUGGAGAAAUUGUUGAAAGAUGUUUCUCUAAAAGCACGAGUCCUCGAGUGCCAGACAAUGGGGCCAAUAGAAGUUAAAAGAUAUUUACAUUGUGAAGAUGGGAAACGGAUCAAACCUCUAAGAAGACCAGUAUCUCACUGGUCUUCUGGUGCUCAAAGCGAAAUGUCUAUUUAUCGUAAUGAAUUUCUAGAUGAAGAGAUCGCAGAAGAAAUUGAAGCUGAUGUCCAAAAAAGGCUCGAAGAUGCCAUCUUCCGCGAUUCGAAGCACUUGAUUGGAGGGGCUUAUACAAAAGUCAAAGUUGCAAGAACAUAAUUGAAAAAGACCUACUAAGUAAGACAGCGUUGAGAUGGAUGAACGCAACAUAAGAUUCCGAAAUGAUUACAUUCCUCAGUUAUAUCAACAAGGCCAUCUAGACACGUCCCCUGAUGAUUCUUUCAAUACUGGCAAACUAUUCGGCUCUCUGACCACUCAUCCUCUUAUCUUACCACGUCCCAACGAGAUUCGAACUUUGCGCCUCUCCUGUCCAGAAGACCCGAUGAUGGACCGCAUGCCUUGGAUGGCCCGUCAAAUGCACCUUCAGGGGAGGGUGGACCACUUACUGUGGAAGAAACUUCAAGAAAGGGGCACUGCCUGCAAUCACGGGCACCUGGUCAUGCCGGAUUACAUUGUUCCCGGGUACACAGGUUGUCUGUACCGAAAUCCUUCCUACACGGCCACCCUCUUUAAGCGCUGUUGCCCAAUGUCCAGCUACGACUAUGACGUCAUCCAAAACACGAAGCCUUACGAGUGUCAGCAUGUGUCCGACCCCUGCAAGCAGGUGACGCCCGUUGUGCCGGGGCUGAGACUCUGUGCAGGGCGCAGAGAGUGGCUUUGAAUAACCCCAGGGAGUCCUUCUGGCUACUACGUUCAAUGAAUCAUUGAAUAA